UGAUAAUUCAUGGAGGUUUGAAAAGUGCAGAUUUUAUUAAAUGCCACUUUAAAAUGUCAUAAAUGUGUGUGUGGGGGAGAAGAUUAGUGGGGGUGUAUAAAACCUGCAAAUGUUCAGAUAAAUAGAUCAGCAUAGAUUUUAGAUCAAAUAAUUAUUCGACUAUUAUCACAAUACACCCUUAUUUCUGACGAGACAAACGAGACAAACGAGACGAGAUUAACGUAGGCUUAAAUUCAAUCUGAUCAGUGUUAACAAGGAGAGAC
rnacentral:lncRNA from 1 species